CUGGGCUCGAAAUGUCUGUAGACCGCCGGUGGAAACACUGGCUUCCCCGCAAGGGGCUGCAGUAUAGGUGCUGCAUGGCUGUCGUCAGCUCGUGUCGUGAGAUGUUGGGUUAAGUCCCGCAACGAGCGCAACCCAUGUCCUGUGUUGCUAACCGAAAGGUGCACUCUCAGGAGACCGCCAGCGAUAAGUUGGAGGAAGGUGGGGAUGACGUCAAGUCAUCAUGGCCUUUAUGUCCAGGGCUACACACGUGCUACAAUGGGCGGUACAAAGCGCUGCGAACCCGCGAGGGGAAGCUAAUCGCAAAAAACCGCUCUCAGUUCGGAUUGCAGGCUGCAACUCGCCUGCAUGAAGCUGGAAUCGCUAGUAAUGGCGUAUCAGAACGACGCCGUGAAUA
rnacentral:rRNA from 1 species